ACCAUAUAAACGUCAGAAAACCG
rnacentral:piRNA from 1 species